GAGGUAAGACAGAUUAACAGGGGCCCCUGGGUGGCUCAGUAGGUUAAGCAUCUGACUCUUGAUUUCAGCUCAGAUUUUGGCCCAGGUCAUGAUCUCAUGGUUCGUGAGUUCAAGCCCCAUGUCGGGCUCUGUGCUGACAGCACAGAGCCUGCUUGGGAUUCUCUCUCUCCCUCUCUCUCUGCCCCUCAUCUGCUUGCGCUCUCUCUCUCUCUCUCUCAAAAUAAGUAAAUAAACUUCUUUUUAAAAGUUUUUUAAAAAGACAGAUUAACAGGAGAAAAACACAUUUAAUUUUGUACACACUGGAGCCUAUAAAAAUACGAAGCUUGGGGCAUCUGGGUGGCUCAGUCGGUUAAGCGUCUGCCUUCGGCUCAGGUCAUGAUCUCGUGGUUCGUGGGUUCGAGCCCUGCAUCAGGCUUCCUGCUGUCAGCACGGAGCUGGCUUUGGAUCCUCUGUCCCCCUCUCUCCUUGCCCCUCCUCUGCUCGUGCUGUCUCUUUCAAAAAUAAAUCAACAUUUUAUAUAUAUAUAUAUAUGUAUAUAUAUAUAUAUAUAUGUAUAUAUGUGUGUGUGUGUGUGUGUGUGUAUAUAUAUAUAUAUAUAUAUAUAAUGGCUCAAAGAAGUGACCCAACAGCACUUUGUACACUUUUUAGACCAAGAAACAAUAAUUUGUGAAGAUUGGUCAAGGCAAAGAGGUUUGGGUCUGGGGGAGCAAAUUAGUAAGGAAAUAACAAGGUUAGUUUAUACAGCCCUCUCGGCCUUAAAUCCCCUAUCUCUGGUGCUAAGGAUGCCCCGUACCCUCCUGGUGCAAGGAGGGCGGGCACCUUUCACACGGGAGAUUUAUUUCCUGCCUUCGAGGGGACGGAGGAGGUCAGAGAGUCCUUCUUGCAUGGGCUGUUUCUUAAGUAACUUUAAUUCAAAACAACCAAUAUGCCAAAUCGGCAUAUUUGGGGAUGACACAUGCUGCUCCCCUUCAGUAUUUUACCACAAUUUCAAAAACUGAAAAAAAAAAAAAAAAGCAGCACCCAAUAAUAACAUCUACUCCUCUGCUGAUGAGUGAACGCUUACCACCUCAAUACGAGGCACAGCGCUAAAUGAUUUACAUGCAGGAAUUCAUCUGCUGCUCAUAACAAGCCUCCCAGAAACUCUUAUCUCGUUUUGCAGAUGGGGAAACUGAGGCACGGAGAAACCAAGUAACUUGUCCAAGGUCACACAGCUGGUAACGGCUAAGCCAGACCCAGACGAGACACACUGGCCCUUGAGUCCCCGAUACUGUCACCCAAAACUGGGUCCGCCCCUUGGUGGGUGUCGAGCCAAGAGACACAACCAAGCCAAGGACGAGGCAAAGGAGGGUUUUUACUUGCAACAAGCAAUGGAGAACUCGGGGGAUGUUUCCCAAAGCAGCGUCUCCUCCAUCAACAAAGAUGGCGAGGUUGGAAUCCAGGGGUGCACGCGUAUUCAUGAAGGGGCGGCAGGACUGGGAAUUAGCAUGGCAUUGGGGCAAAAGUCACCUUAAAGUGACAGAGUCCGGGUCCAAGUCACGAGGGCGGCAAGGGUAGGCAUCGUCAAUUCUCUGGCUUCAGUUGGUCCCAUAUCUGGGUGCUCAGAGGGGUUUAGAUCCCACAAAGAUAACUCAGCAAUGUGAGGCCGGUCAGUCUUCACUUUUUAGAUCAGCGUCGGGAGUUUUCCACCGAUGUAAUUAGACUAUCUCCUGGCCCGAAAGAUCUCCC
rnacentral:lncRNA from 1 species